UACGUAGGGGGGCAAGCGUUAUCCGGAUUUACUGGGUGUAAAGGGAGCGUAGACGGCGAUGCAAGUCUGAAGGUGAAAGGCGGGGGCCCAACCCCCGGACUGCUCUGGGAACUGUCUGGCUGGAGUGCAGGAGGGGUAAGUGGAAUUCCUAGUGUAGCGGUGAAAUGCGUAGAUAUUAGGAGGAACACCAGUGGCGAAGGCGGCUUACUGGACUGUAACUGACGUUGAGGCUCGAAAGCGUGGGGGAGCAAACAGG
rnacentral:rRNA from 1 species